CAGAGUUGCAAAACUCCCUAAACCCUUUGUUUACAUACCUGUUCAGUUGCUUCGGCAGGCGGCCCCAGGGCGGGGCCUCCAGCCUGCUCACGCAGGUGCCUGCCGCUGGCGCAAAAACUCUUGUUAUAUAUUAUAAUUCUGAGUCAUAAAAAAAUGAAUCA
rnacentral:misc_RNA from 1 species